AGAACCAUUUUUUUUGUGUGUGUUGUUUCAGAAUCUCCUACUAUAAAAGUAUCUCCAGAUGUCAUAAGAGAGUCCAGCUCAGUGAAGAUCAGCUGUGAGACUCCAGCAGAUGUUAGAGUGAGUCAGUGUUAUUUCUACACAAACAGAGAAGAGAAAAAUAUAAACGUCACUUCAUCAUGUGAGCUCGAGCUCACUGGUGCUGAAGUGCUCAGAUGGGCAGGUGUAAAAUCACCUAAAUCAAUCUACAUUAACUGUUACUACACAAUAAAUGAACGAGGCAUCGAUAAACCAUCAUCUCAUUCUCCUGCCACAGUGACGGUUCUAGAUUCAAUUCCGAAACCCAUCAUCAGUGUUAGUGAUGAUGAUGACCAGCUCAGCAUAUUGUGUGAAAUACCACUUUCAGUCAGAGCUGAUUUCAUCUGUAGUUUCUACACUGAGGAUGAUGUUCUUCUGUAUCAACGUGUCUCUCUGUGGAGUCAGUCUGGAAAGAAUCUUUGUAUGUUUUAUGUAAGUCAUAGUGAACUCUUCACACGAUCAGUGAACAGCAGACAGCUGAUCUGUGUUUAUUCACUCAAGACUGAACCUGAGAUCAGAUCACCACACAGUGACACAUACACCUUCAGAGACACAGUCACCAUCAGAGGUGAGUUAAUAUUGUUACAGCAAAUUAUCCAGUGUUGAAAUCCUAGUGUUGAGGACUUUUAGAGUAAAGUGUUAAAGUUGUGGUGUUGAAUUUACUAACUAGUGUAAACAGCCCCCUCUGGCCGGUGUAAAUACGCAGAGUUACCUUUAUUAACACUGUUGAGUGUUAAUAGGCCUUUAUCACACUUCCGCAUUUGAAAAGCGGAAGAUUCAAAUAGAAGCGUAAAAGAACUUCCGCUGCAGCCUCUAUCAACAGCUGUGCCCAUAGCAUGCCAUUGUUGUGGAUUAUUUAUCUAGAAUUCAGCACAUAUAUGUCAUCUAAAGACACCAAUCUCAGUUUACUACAAUUAAUUGAGUAUUAUGAAACGAAGGAAUAAGUUGUCACGAUAUCCCGAAGCGUAUUUCGAGACUUAAACAGGAGUGUGCGAGCCAUGCUGUAUGUGUAUAGGCAAUUCUUCCCAGUCUGAUCACCUUAUUUAAUUUCAGAACAGCGAAAAAAAUAGACAAACAACAUAUCAUAUAAGCAUUCGAAUUUGCCAAAGCUUAAAACAUUAAUUAUGACUAAAUUAAGGGUGUAUAGAAGGAUUAAAUUAAAGGUUUAGGGCAAACUUGUAUUAAACAUUUAGCUCACAUUUUUUUUUCACAAUAAAUAUAAUGCAAAAAUAAAAUAAUAUUACA
ensembl:lncRNA